rnacentral:rRNA from 1 species
CAAUAGCGUAUAUUUAAGUUGUUGCAGUUAAAAAGCUCGUAGUUGGAUUUCGGGUAGGAUUUGCCGGUCCGUCUUUGAGAUGUGUACUGGUAAGUCCUAUCUUCUUGUCGGGGACCAGCUCCUGGGCUUCACUGUCCGGGACUGGGAGCCGACGAAGUUACUUUGAGUAAAUUAGAGUGUUCAAAGCAAGCCUUCGCUCUGAAUAUAAUAGCAUGGGAUAACACGACAGGACUCUGGCCUAUCGUGUUGGUCUGUAGGACCGGAGUAAUGAUUAAGAGGAACAGUCGGGGGCAUUCGUAUUCCAUUGUCAGAGGUGAAAUUCUUAGAUUUAUGGAAGACGAACAUCUGCGAAAGCAUUUGCCAAGGAUGUUUUCAUUGA